rnacentral:lncRNA from 10 species
UGGGGUUCAGUCUGCCGCUGCAAAUACCAAAAGCUGUCCUCAUUGAGUCAUCCCUCCCAGAGCAGGAAGAGCAGAGGUUCUGGGAAACAACCCCAAGGAGAGAGACAGGGCAUUUGUAAAACAGCAUGUAAGCAUCUCUGCAGUUGCUGUCCCCAGAGCCCACUUCCUGGAUAUUGCCAGCUGCCUGGACCAACCUUUCCGAAAGAUCAGCCAGGUCACAGUGAGGGUCAAAGGUGAGCCACGGGCCUCAGCAGCUGCUGAGUGGAUGGUGCGUGGGACUCAGGAAGUGACGUUCUCUCCCCGCCCAGCCCCCUUCCUCAGUCUAUUGCUCCGAAUCCUGGACCACACACUGCGUGCUGAGGCUCCAUCGCUGUGCUGGGUGAGGGGUGGAGGACUGUCCAGCUGACAGCCACCCAGGAGGCCUGCCCAGGAGACCCAGCCCAGCCUCUCCUUGGAACCUGAAGAACUCCAGGCAGCUGAUGGGACACUGGGGCCCAGGUCAGCCCCUCCCCUUCCCUGAGGUUGCCUGAGGACGCCUUCACUGUUCUAGAGAAGGAGGCCCUCCCCAUGGCUGGGGACAGUCACAGCAGCUGCAGACAGAUGAUGGGAGGGAGCAUUCUUUCCCUAACCCUAGAGGCGGGCGAGCAUUCACCAAGUGUUGUUGUUAAAGAAAAAAAGAAAGAAAAAGAAACCAGGAUUGUACCUGAGGUCAGGCAGACAGUGCUCAACUCAGCACUGGGAAGAUUGCUAGAAGCCUUGGGCCUAUCUAGGAAGACUGGGCCAACAUGCGAUCCCCUCUGCAAGGUGGAGGCCAUGCACCUGCCUCCUGCUCCUGAGCUCCGGUAUCCUCACUGUGACCCAGGCCCCACUGCAGCAAAGAGACACUGGGAAUUAGCCCUUCUGUCCCCUCCUUGCCAGAAGGUGGGAAGAUGUGUUGGUUGAGGGCCUAGAAUUUUUUUCAUCCCCAAAGACUUUCUUUUUUUAAUAUUAUUAUACUUUAAGUUCUAGGGUACAUGUGCACAACGUACAGGUUUGAUACAUAGGUAUGCAUGUGCCAUGUUGGUUUGCUGCACCCAUCAACUCGUCAUUUACAUUUGGUAUUUCUCCUAAUGCUAUCCUUCCCCCAGCCCCCAAACCCCUGACAGGCCCUGGUGUGUGAUGUUCCCCACCCUGUGUCCAAGUGAUCUCAUUGUUAAAUUCCCACCUGUAGGUGAGAACAUGCGGUGUUUGGUUUUCUGUCCUUGUGAUAGUUUGCUGAGAAUGAUGGUUUCCAGCUUCA